rnacentral:rRNA from 1 species
GAUGAACGCUAGCUGCGUGCCUAAUACAUGCAAGUCGAGCGAACACAUCAUGAGCUUCCUCCUCUGACUUUACCGGCAGCCGCGUGCGUAACACGUAGAUAACCUCCCUAUUAGACUGGGAUAACUUCGACAAACCGGAGCUCAUACUAGUACAUAUAUUGCACCGCUUGCGUCAAUAGUGAAAAAGGGUUUUGCUGUCACUUAUAGAUGGAUCCGCGCCGCAUUAGCUAGUUGGUAAGGUAACGGCCUACCAAGGCAACGAUGCGUAGGCGACCUGAGAGGGUGAUCGGCCACACUGGAACUGAGACACGGUCCAGACCACUAUGGGAGGCAGCAGUAGGGAAUCUACUGCAAUGGGCGAAAGCCUGACGGAGCAACGCCGCGUGAGUUAUGAAGGUCUGCGGAUCGUAAAACUCUGUUAUUAGGGAAGAACAAAUGUGUAAGUAACUAUGCACGUCUUGACGGUACCUAAUCAGAAAGCCACGGCUAACUCCGUG